GAUGAACGCUGGCUACAGGCUUAACACAUGCAAGUCGAGGGGAAACGACGGGGAAGCUUGCUUCCCCGGGCGUCGACCGGCGCACGGGUGAGUAACGCGUAUCCAACCUGCCUCUGACUGAGGGAUAACCCGUCGAAAGUCGGCCUAAUACCUCAUGGCAUCGUCUGCGGGCAUCCAACGACGAUUAAAGAUUUCAUCGGUCAGAGAUGGGGAUGCGUCUGAUUAGCUUGUUGGCGGGGUAACGGCCCACCAAGGCGACGAUCAGUAGGGGUUCUGAGAGGAAGGUCCCCCACAUUGGAACUGAUACACGGUCCAAACUCCUACGGGAGGCAGCAGUGAGGAAUAUUGGUCAAUGGGCGAGAGCCUGAACCAGCCAAGUAGCGUGCAGGAUGACGGCCCUAUGGGUUGUAAACUGCUUUUAUGCGGGGAUAAAGUGAGGGACGUGUCCUUCAUUGCAGGUACCGCAUGAAUAAGGACCGGCUAAUUCCGUG
rnacentral:rRNA from 1 species